rnacentral:rRNA from 1 species
UACGUAUGGUGCAAGCGUUAUCCGGAUUUACUGGGUGUAAAGGGAGCGUAGGCGGCGCGUUAAGUCUGAUGUGAAAACCCGAGGCUCAACCACGGGAGUGCAUUGGAAACUGGCGGGCUGGAGUGCCGGAGAGGUAAGCGGAAUUCCUAGUGUAGCGGUGAAAUGCGUAGAUAUUAGGAGGAACACCAGUGGCGAAGGCGGCUUAUUGGACGGCAACUGACGCUGAGGCUCGAAAGCGUGGGGAGCAAACAGG